rnacentral:tRNA from 1 species
GCGAAAGUGGCGGAAUUGGCAGACGCGCUAGACUUAGGAUCUAGUGGGGUAACCCAUGAGGGUUCGAGUCCCUCCUUUCGCA